UGCAGAUCAAAAUAAAACUAAAAUAAACAGCCCCUGUUUUGCAAGUAAAUGGGCUAUGUUAAUACUCCCUCCUUUCCGGUUUAUAGGUCCUGCGUGUAAAUCUAGCUUGUCUAUUUUACCAACAUAAUAGUACCACACAUCAUAUACCACAAAAAUUUAUAUCAUUAGAAAGUAGAACAAAUGUUCAGCAAGAACCAGUAAGGUCCAAGUAUGGCUCCAACUAAACUAUGUUUUGCACACACUAAGGUCCACCAAUUUCUCCUCUGCACAAAUCUUCAGCAAGAACAAGGAUAUAUAUCAACGAUUUUGCAAGCAAGAACCCCGAGGCUUACUUGAGAUCUGAAGAGUAGCUGCCAAUAUCGGCACACAACUAUGUAGGCAUUAAAAGUGGAAGAUGAAGCAAGCAUCUCUCAGAAUCAUCAAUACGCCACAAACUAGACAUGACGGAAACUAAACUACCAACGAAAUCAAUCACAGCAACUAAAUCGAUCCAGCACAAAAAACGAAACGAUAAAGCUCACAGAUCCGUAGAGCCACGGGUGAAGAGGCGUAGGGGAGGGAGGGAGGGGACAGGAACCUUUCUUUGGUUGUUGGCGAUGGGGAUCGCUGCUUCUGCUGAGACGACGGAGGCGGCGGCGCAAGGUGCUUCUGCUUGUGCUACAACGGACGGAGGCGGCGGCGCAAGGUGCUUCUGCUUGUGCUACAACGGACGGAGGCGGCGGCGCAGGGAGGGAGGAAAUAAAGAGGGUAGAACCCAAACCCUAGCGCCCGUCCAGUUGUU
rnacentral:lncRNA from 1 species